rnacentral:rRNA from 1 species
GUGUCAGCCGCCGCGGUAAUACGGAGGAUCCAAGCGUUAUCCGGAAUCAUUGGGUUUAAAGGGUCCGUAGGCGGUCUUAUAAGUCAGUGGUGAAAGCCCAUCGCUCAACGAUGGAACUGCCAUUGAUACUGUAAGACUUGAAUGCUUAGGAAGUAACUAGAAUAUGUAGUGUAGCGGUGAAAUGCUUAGAUAUUACAUGGAAUACCAAUUGCGAAGGCAGGUUACUACUAAGUGAUUGACGCUGAUGGACGAAAGCGUGGGGAGCGAACAGGAUUAGAUACCCUGGUAGUCCACGCCGUAAACGAUGGAUACUAGCUGUUCGGAGCAAUCUGAGUGGCUAAGCGAAAGUGAUAAGUAUCCCACCUGGGGAGUACGCACGCAAGUGUGAAACUCAAAUGAAUUGACGG